ACUCCCCUCACAUGAUCAGAAAGGACCAAUCAGUCAACGUAAAGAAUGUGAAAGUACACCGAGUGCCUUGAAGAGGAAAGUGAAGGCUAUUCAAGCAUUUGCAGUCUCGCAAAACGUUGAAAGCAAAUACAAAUGACAUGCCUCAGAGCUGACUAAGCAUUGGUGAGCUGUGAUAGGAGUGUUCGAAGGAAGGGCGGAGGGAGAGAAUCUCCCUGCCAAGGGAUAUUUCAUGUUGCAACGGUCUUAAGUGAGCAGACGCUUGGAAAGUCUCUCUUCUCUCCACCCCAGGGACUCAGUCAUGGGAAGAGGAGUGGCCUUUUUCCAGCACAACCACUGGCAAAGGAUGUCCAUGUGUCAAGAGCUGCUGGUGGUAGAGCUGGGGACUGAUGGUGCUGUACACAGCUACCUCAAAUGCAGCAUCUACAAAUCCACUUGCCAGCGACAAGCAGGAUGCCCAGUACCACACAGAGCUCUUCCCCAGAGGUCUCUUUUCUCUUGCCAUUUUUGAGAAACAGCCGCAAUCCUUCCUGAGCAGUAGGAGAAGGCUCCCACUGUUUCUUACCACCUCCAUAUCCCAGUGCAAAUUAGAGAAGACUCACUUAUCUCCUAAGCCCUCUGCCUGUGUGCCAGAAAAGGAUCUGAUGGAAGCAAGGUAGUAACCACACGUAAUGGCUGGCCAGUGAGUUCAGCCUAAAUUUGUGGGUUCCUGGCAAGGAAGAUGCAAACACUGCAAGGAGGAAAAUGCAAAUGGAAGUUGCCAACAGGAGCAGGAUGGAGGCUGCAGAGGGAGAUACCAUGAAGCAGAAUGGCUGAGGAGGCCACUGCUCUCAGGAGUUCAGAUAAGGUUUUACCGGAGGAAGAGGAGGACAUGGGUCCUAAUCCCCUCCCCUUACAUCUAAGAACAAGCUCUGAGAUUCCUCUGUGUGGGUGUCUGCUGUUGCCAUUCUAUACAUCUUUUCUCAGCAGGGAGAUUUGAAGAAAAUCUAAAGAAGUUUUUAAACUCCUAAUUCUAAAUGUUGUUUUUCCAUUUCCCCCCCACAUAGAUGUUCUUGGAAGUAACAAUCUUCCUGUCUUGAUUCUCCUGAACUCUGGAUUUUAUUUAUGGCAGGACAAAGUCUUUAUAGAGGACUUGAGUUCAGUGGAGAGGCAGAAAGAAAAGGCAUAAUAAAGCUCUUAAAACACAACAAAGCUUUGAAAGCAAGAGAGAUAUGGAUGUGUUUGAGAAGCAAGACAGCUGCUAUGUAAACUGUCUCACAAGGAGCUUGUGAAAAGAAUAUUGCCAUGCAAGGGAUUUUUAUGUGCAAGAGUAAAACUCAAAGUCACCCCGUUCAAUCCUCAGAUCAGCAAAGAGCCUUCAAAAUUAUGCAUCCACUCCGCCAUCCUUCUGUUUCUAACAUCAGGGGAUUAUCCACUUGCAUUUUAAGAACGGCAGGUUUAGAGGAUAAUGAUGCCAUACAAUAUUUCUCCUGAUAUUAAAAGCAUUAAUGACCUGACCAAGUCCUGAUAUUAAAAGCAUUAAUGACCUGACCAAAUGGAAUCAGAGCUUUGUUUUUUAGAAAAGG